UACAGAGGUCCCAAGCGUUGUUCGGAUUCAUUGGGCGUAAAGGGUGCGUAGGCGGCGCGGUAAGUCGGGUGUGAAAUCUCGGAGCUUAACUCCGAAACUGCAUUCGAUACUGCCGUGCUUGAGGACUGGAGAGGAGACUGGAAUUCACGGUGUAGCAGUGAAAUGCGUAGAGAUCGUGAGGAAGACCAGUGGCGAAGGCGGGUCUCUGGACAGUUCCUGACACUGAG
rnacentral:rRNA from 1 species